rnacentral:lncRNA from 1 species
CGACGUCGAGAGCGGUGGCCGACCGGCGGAUGAAACCUGAGAAAGAUUCGUUAUUUGAAAACCGGACGACGUCAUCGAGGACGGCUGCAAACUCUCGGUGUCACCGGUCAACGAUGAAAUGAAAGAAUUCCCCGGCGAUGGGGUGGCAAAGUUGAUUGUGGUUGUUGAUUCUUUCCUCUCCGACUUUGACCCAUUUUUCACCAGCUGCUGGUGGUGGUGGUGGUGGUUAAGGGGUAACGGAGGCAAACGCUGAAUUGGCGUGGGACAAUAGAUUUUCGAACCGGCUUGUGGGUAUUCGGUUUUUAUCUUUUCUUCAGCCGGCCGGUUCUGAAUGGACGCCGGUAGACAGAGCAGCUCCGGUUCUUUAUGUAGAAACGGAGAACUAGUAGUGGUGAUUGGACCCCUGCGGAACCGGGCGCAGGCGAUGGGGUAGCAAAGUUGAUUGUAGUCGUUGAUUCUUUCCUCUCCGACGUUGACCCAUUUUUAACCAGCUGCUGGUGGUGGUGGUGGUGGUUAAGGGGUGACGGAGGCAA